GACCUGCGGUCGGCGGGUUGCAGGCGGGGCCUGCCGUGUUCUGGGUGAGGGUCCGCAUCCGUCCCGAGCUUCGGGCCGCUUUUCCCGCGGAUCCGGUUUCUUGAGCCUCGCCUUGCAGGGGCUGGAGGACAAGCACAUACGGCUGCCGAGGAUAAAGAACGCACUUCCCAGCCUCCCUUGUGUCUGGUGACGCUUCAUCCUACUGCUUGUAACAUAGAGGUCAUGGGCGGAAGCCGGCUCGGGCCAUGCGGACCGUGGCAGGAGUGGAACAGCCAGCUGCAAGGAGCCUGGAUCCCUGGACAACAUGAGAUUGCAGAGCCAUCAUCCCAGCCCCUGACUGCCUCCUCCACACUGCUCCACGGAGUGCAGACAAACCUCCCGUUUAAGCCAUUGCUACUUUGGACUCCAUUGCAUGAAGCCCAAGUUGUAGCCUAACUAAUUCAGCAGCGUGUGGGGGUAGAGCAUUUGGGCCUCUUUGAUGUUUCUACUUGUGGACUCACGUGUGUAUUCUUCUGUAACUUCCCUUUUGACUCAACCGCUGGCAAGAUUCACCAUCAUACUGCUGCUCUGAAUCAUUCCUUCUUGCUGCUCUCUGGAAGUCUACUGUUCAGAUAGCCCAGAAUACAUGUGUUUAUGCUCCUGCUGAGGGCACCUGACUUGUUUCCAGUUAUUUGCCAUCAUAAACAGUGAUACAGUGACAGUAUUGUCUCUUUCCUCUGUUAGAGUUUCUCUAGAGCAGGAACCUACGAGGGGAAUUGUAGAUUCAAGAGUAUGCGAGCCUUCGAUGUUCCUAGAUGUGGCCGAACUGCUUAUACUGUACUUCAAAGUACUUAUAAGAGUUCUUGCGAGUUUACGUCGGAGGCUGGAAAACUUUCCUGCAAAGAGUCAGAUAGCAAAUGAUGUGUUCUGCUUUGCAAGCCAUGUGGACUCUAUCCCAGCCAUUCAGUUCUGCUGUCGUAGCUCAAAAGCAGCGCUAGACAAUACGUAAACAGAGGAGCGUGUCUGUGUUCCAAUAAAGUUUUAUUUACAAAAA